ACGUAGGUGGCAAGCGUUAUCCGGAUUUACUGGGUGUAAAGGGCGUGUAGGCGGGACUGCAAGUCAGAUGUGAAAUUCCAGGGCUCAACUCUGGACCUGCAUUUGAAACUGUAGUUCUUGAGUGAUGGAGAGGCAGGCGGAAUUCCGAGUGUAGCGGUGAAAUGCGUAGAUAUUCGGAGGAACACCAGUGGCGAAGGCGGCCUGCUGGACAUUAACUGACGCUGAGGCGCGAAAGCGUGGGGAGCAAACA
rnacentral:rRNA from 1 species